AUAGCGUAUAUUAAAGUUGUUGCAGUUAAAAAGCUCGUAGUUGAACUUCGAACCUGGUUGGGUGGUCUGCCUUCACGGUACGUACUGCUUGGCCGGGUUCUACCUCUUGGUGAGCCAGCAUGCCCUUAAUUGGGUGUGUUGGGGAACCAGGACUUUUACCUUGAGAAAAUUAGAGUGUUCAAAGCAGGCCUUCGCCCGAAUACAUUAGCAUGGCAUAAUAAAAUAGGACGUGCGGUUCUAUUUUGUUGGUUUCUAGAGUCGCUGUAAUGAUUAAUAGGGAUAGUUGGGGGCAUUGGUAUUCAGCCGCUAGAGGUGAAAUUCUUGGAUUGGCUGAAGACCGACUAUUG
rnacentral:rRNA from 1 species